rnacentral:sRNA from 1 species
GGGACCCACGUGUGUUUUGCUUGACACUUUAUCUUUGGUUUCUAGCCAGGGAAGGGCUGGCUCAUAUGUAGGCGCUCAAGAAAUUCCUGGAGUCAGUUCGUAUCUGUGUAGGGGGAGGGUGUUGCUGGCUGAGACGCUCAUAUUCAGAUUUGGACUGUGGAAGGCCUGGGGAGGACACGCAAGUCUGACUGAAUUUGGCACAUUAGCUUUUCUCACAGCAGCCCCAUUCUGUUUUGGGCUCCCCGUGUUUCCUAAACGUUCUGUUCCCCAUUGACUGUUGCUGCCGCUCUCCCUAGGUUCCCAAAGGUGGGGGCCUACCCAUGACCACUGAAGUUCUCAAGAGCUUAGCAGCUCCUCCAGCCCUGGAGAAGAAGCCACAGGUGGCCUAUAAGACGGAGAUCAUUGGAGGGGUGGUGGUCCACACACCCAUCAGCCAGAACGGUGGGGAUGCGCAGGAAGGGAGUGAGCCUGGGUCCCACACCAUCCUUCGAAGGUCUCAGAGUUACAUCCCCACAUCAGGCUGCCGUGCUUCCACCGGGCCUCCCCUCAUUAAGAGUGGUUACUGCGUGAAGCAAGGGAAUGUGGUGA